rnacentral:lncRNA from 1 species
UUCCCCGCCCUCAAGUCACUUCCCCUCUGGGUUUCACUUUCCUUGUUUGCAAAACAAGUGUCUGACCAGGGUGCCCCAAGGUCUGUUCCAGCCUUGAAUCUGAUUCCAUGUCAUGGGUAACCCCAAGGAGAUCAUUUAAUCUUUCUGAGACUCUGAGAGACUCCGUGGUAAGGAAACAAGAGUCAUCCAAGUGGACUUCACUGGAGGCCUAGAGGUCUAUGAGACAGUCAAUGCUGUUGGCAUAACUCCCACGCAAGUCCUGCAGAAGCUAAUGGCUUUGAAGAACACAGGCAAGGUAGAGGAAGCUACACCUCGCCCCCCCAACUCAUGCCUUUUCCCAUUUCUCUGACUUUUUCCAUCUCUUCUUCUCCCCUCCCUAUUCCUGCCCUCUUUAUCUGCCCCUUCCCUCAUCACCCC